CUCGAAUGCCAUCACACGAGCCUUGUACAUGUCUUCCCUUUGUCCCUUGAGGAUGGUAACGGAUAUAUUUACCUACCAUAGCGCCCCCGAAGGAAAACCGCCUCCAGGCAGCGACGCGGAUGAUCCCAGCGUCCAGGUGUAAUGGCUUCUAGAGCCUUGCAAGGGGAGACUUCCAUCCAGACUGUCUGAAUUACCCCAAAGUUCGGAACUCAUGGCAUCCGAGUGAGUAAGACUUUACAGAGCUGUAUUUGGAGAGUUGAUUGGAUCUGUCAGUUUUCCCGUGGAUACAGAGUCCUGGGUGGCUUGACCGAAAGUUCGCUGGAACAUAAAUAACCCCCAAGU